AGCAACAUAAAAACUAAUGCUGCUGAUCUGGUAUCUAAGCUCUGCCCUAGAUUUUUCCAUUUAAGUCAAAGAUUGUGUUGAAUGUCUUCAAUGACUGAACAUUCAGAGUAGAUGCAAAAAGAUGGAGCAAGAACAAACCUCAAAAGUUUUAUCUAAAAUAUAAAUAGUCAUGAUUCACAGGAGAGGGGGCCACUAAGGUGCAAAGAACCCGAAAAGUAAAGACAACAACUUUGCAGCCGGAAACAAAGGUGACACGGGGGUCAAGGAAGUCCAAAGGUGCUGCACCUGCUAUCAGCCCUAAACCAACACAUUUCACUCCCAGAGCACAUUCACCGGAGUCUUUGUCUCCUGAAGGACAGGCAGAAAUCCAGACAGGAUUACCAACGGAGGCAGAUUUUGACACAAAAGGUCAUUUGGAAAACGCAGGUGGAAGGGAAGACGCAGAACACAUGCUGGUGGAGAAAGUGAAGAAAAAUUAAAAAGUCUAGUAAGCAAACAGGCAAAACAAAAGGGAAGAGUGUUCAAAUUCAUGAAGACAUUAUUGAGACCCAGAAUACCAGUGUCCCUGAGGAUCCCACUUCUACUUAAAAAAAAGAAAACCUCGGCCACAGGACGCUGAAUGGAUUGCAAAUCCUGUGGAUGAGCCUGAGAGACUGAUGACCCUUAAGAGAGAGGUGACUGACUCAGAGAAUGACCAACUAGAAAACACAUGCCAGCAUUCACAGACUCUCACAGAGCUCCAUCAGAACCACCUCGAUGAUCAAUCAUCCACCUGCCUCAGACCCCUCUAAAUCUGAGCCAGGCAAUUACGUUAAAAGCAAAGAGGUUCCAACUAACCAAACAGACAAAAAAGCUGCAGCCCUGGCUGAAAGGGCCGAGCGCCCUCAUCUGGAGGUGGAGAAGAAACGGGGAGAGAGAGAGGAGGAAAAGAAGAGACAGCAAGAAAAAGAGGUGACAGAAGAGAGGAUGAGGCUGGAACUGGAAGAAGAACAGAGGAGGAGAGCAGAGGAAGAGAGGUACAACAUGUCACUGCUCUUUGGAAACAAAUACUGUAACAAAAUACACUAUAUCCCAUAGACAUUGGCAAGAAACUAUCACUGUCACAUAUGCAGGUUAUGGAAGAUUAGAAAAGAUGAUGAAACACAAAGAAGACAGGAGGAGGAGAUGGAGAGACAGAGGAGAGAGCGGGCAGAGAAGGACAGAGAAAGAAGACGACAAGAGGAGAGGAGAAAUUGCUGCUGGAACAGCUCCAGAGAGAAAGACAGGAAGAGGAAAAACAACAGGCUGGUUAAUAGCUGUGCAGUCAUGGUUUCUGAUUGGUCGAGGCCCUUGUGACAUGACAGUCUUGAUAUCUCUUGGACUGAAUUCUGCUUUUGUAUGACUACUGUGAGAAAAAACUACAGGAUCUGAAGCAAGAUAAUGUCUAUGUUACAUAGACAGCUGCCUUCGAAGAUGUAUGUGCCUCACUAGGUUUUGGAAACAGAGCAGUUACCUCACUACUGCACAAGUUAACCCACUACUGCUGAUUUAAUACAGAGCAACUGCUUCAAACUUUUGUGCUGUAAUGUGUCCACGGCCAAGGUCUGGAUUUCAGCCUUGAUAAUAGCCAUACUGACCACAGUACAGUCCCAAAUGGUACACUUUACAGGUCUUGUGUCCUUCACUUGCACUUGUCCAUGAAAUCAGUAAUACCGAAGGCAGUCCAACUGGUCAUUGUAUGAUUUAAGAGGGUACUCACAAGGGCUUUAUAGCCAGUGUGAGGUUUUGAUGCCAAGCCUGCAGACUAUUACCCAACAGUCUAUGCAGCGUUGCAUCACCGUCCUAAGUGGACCACACAUAUCAGUAUACAUCCUGCAACAUUAAAAUGUAAAUAUCCUGCUUU
ensembl:lncRNA